UACGGAGGGUGCGAGCGUUGUCCGGAAUCACUGGGCGUAAAGGGCGCGUAGGCGGCGCGGGGAGUCAACGGUGAAAGCUCGGCGCUCAACGCCGAGUCGGCCGUCGAUACUCCCGUGCUCGAGCACUGUAGAGGCAGGUGGAAUUCCGGGUGUAGCGGUGGAAUGCGUAGAGAUCCGGAAGAACACCGGUGGCGAAGGCGGCUCACUGGACCAUAACUGACGCUGAUGCACGAAAGCUAGGGGAGCAAACAGG
rnacentral:rRNA from 1 species